rnacentral:rRNA from 1 species
CUUACUACCGAAGCCACGGCAUCAGUAGUGAUGGGUAGUGGAGGUUCCCGUACGGGUUGAAGCAUCACCGUAAGGACAUGUGGACAGUAUGGGGGUGAGAAUGUGUGCAUGAGUAGCGAGAUGUGGGUGGGAAUCCCACAGGCCGUAAACCCAAGGUGUCCAGGGGAAGGUUCGUCCGCCCUGGGUUAGUCGGGACCUAAGCUGAGGCCGAAAGGCGUAGGUGAUGGAAAACAGGUUGAUAUUCCUGUACUACCGAUAACCGUUUGAGAGAUGGGAUGACACAGUAGGAUAAGCUAAGCACACUGUUGGUGAUGUGUGCCCAAGCAUUGAGGCAGUCAAAGUAGGGCACUACGCGUUGAUAAUGCAUGGAUGGGAUGGGGAACGAAGUAUGGUAGCGAAGAUGGUGAUUUAAGCCUGUCAAGAAAAGUCAGUAUCGGGGAUACAGGUA